UGGAAGGUAGAUACACGAGUUUUUACUACGUGUCAUAUAAUUCGUCACUUAAUCCUUCCAAAAAAAAAUUGCCUUCUGAUGACUGUAAUUUGUGAAGUAUUAAUUUACAGACAGAUACGGGGCAUACAUUU